rnacentral:misc_RNA from 1 species
GUUUUUCCGGUUCCUGAAGAUUGUGGGAGUUGGUUACAAAGCCAGAGCUGAAGCAGCAGGACGUCUCUUGUAUCUUAAAUUGGGAUACAGCCAUGAAGUUGAACUAACCGUUCCACCAGCUGUUCGCGUCUUUUGCUUCAAAAACAAUGUGGUAUGCUGCACAGGGAUUGACAAACAAAGGGUACACCAAUUUGCUGCUGCAGUUCGGAGCUGCAAGCCACCAGAAGUAUACAAAGGCAAGGGUAUCAUGUAUAUCGAC